CGAAAGCCAUGCGUAAUGAAUCGAGUAGGGCGGGACACGUGAAAUCCUGUCUGAACAUGGGGGGACCAUCCUCCAAGGCUAAAUACUCGUUGUCGACCGAUAGUGAACCAGUACCGUGAGGGAAAGGCGAAAAGAACCCUGGUGAAGGGAGUGAAAUAGAACCUGAAACCGUGUGCAUACAAGCAGUCAGAGCAUAUGAAGAUAUGUGAUGGCGUACCUUUUGUAUAAUGGGUCAGCGAGUUACAUUCAGUGGCGAGGUUAACCGAAUAGGGGAGCCGUAGCGAAAGCGAGUCUUAAUAGGGCGAUAAGUCUCUGGGUGUAGACCCGAAACCGGGCGAUCUAUCCAUGGGCAGGUUGAAGGUUGAGUAACAUCAACUGGAGGACCGAACCCACGCAUGUUGAAAAAUGCGGGGAUGACCUGUGGAUAGGAGUGAAAGGCUAAACAAGCUCGGAGAUAGCUGGUUCUCCCCGAAAACUAUUGAGGUAGUGCCUUGUAGAUUGACUUACGGGGGUAGAGCACUGUUUCGGCUAGGGGGUCAUACCGACUUACCAACCCGAUGCAAACUCCGAAUACCGUAAAGUUUUACUACAGGAGACACACGGCGGGUGCUAACGUCCGUCGUGAAGAGGGAAACAACCCAGACCGCCAGCUAAGGUCCCGAAAUGACAGUUCAGUGGGAAACGAAGUGGGAAGGCUUAGACAGCUAGGAGGUUGGCUUAGAAGCAGCCAUCCUUUAAAGAAAGCGUAAUAGCUCACUAGUCGAGUCGUCCUGCGCGGAAGAUUUACCGGGGCUAAACUGUCUACCGAAGCUGCGGAUUUGCAUGAAGAUGCAAGUGGUAGGGGAGCGUUGUGUAAGCCGAAGAAGGUGUGUUGAGAAGCAUGCUGGAGGUAUCACAAGUGCGAAUGCUGACAUGAGUAACGAUAAUGCGGGUGAAAAACCCGCACACCGAAAACCCAAGGUUUCCUGCGCAACGCUAAUCGGCGCAGGGUGAGUCGGCCCCUAAGGCGAGGCGGAAACGCGUAGUCGAUGGGAAACAGGUUAAUAUUCCUGUACUGAUCAUAAUUGCGAUGGGGGGACGGAGAAAGCUAGGCCAGCACACUGUUGGAUGUGUGUUUAAGCGCGUAGGUUGGGGACUUAGGCAAAUCCGGGUUCCUAAGACUGAAACGUGAUGACGAGUUUCUACGGAAACGAAGUGGUUGAUGCUCUGCUUCCAGGAAAAGCCUCUAAGCUUCAGAUUAUGACAACCGUACCCCAAACCGACACAGGUGGGUAGGAAGAGAAUUCCAAGGUGCUUGAGAGAACUCGGGUAAAGGAACUCGGCAAAAUGAUACCGUAACUUCGGGAUAAGGUAUGCCUCUGAUGGUGAAUAGCUGUUGGAGGCCGCAGAGAAUAGGCCGCUGCGACUGUUUAUCAAAAACACAGCACUCUGCAAACACGCAAGUGGACGUAUAGGGUGUGACGCCUGCCCGGUGCCGGAAGGUUAAUUGAUGGGGUGCAAGCUCUUGAUCGAAGCCCCGGUAAACGGCGGCCGUAACUAUAACGGUCCUAAGGUAGCGAAAUUCCUUGUCGGGU
rnacentral:rRNA from 1 species